rnacentral:rRNA from 1 species
GACGAACCGUGCGAACGUUGUUCGGAAUCACUGGGCUUAAAGGGCGCGUAGGCGGUCAGCACAAGUCAGUUGUGAAAUCUCCGGGCUUAACUCGGAAAGGUCAACUGAUACUGUGCGGCUAGAGUGCGGAAGGGGCAACUGGAAUUCUUGGUGUAGCGGUGAAAUGCGUAGAUAUCAAGAGGAACACCUGCGGCGAAGGCGGGUUGCUGGGCCGACACUGACGCUGAGGCGCGAAAGCUAGGGGGAGCAAACGGG